GGUAAGGAGGAAAAGAAAUAAAACUACCAAUAAGAAAGCAAAGUGUUUUACAUUUGAAGUUUGAAAUUAAAAUUAAAACUAAAAAUGGCAAACAAAUAUGUUGCUUUGUUGUUGGUGGUGUGCCUGGUAGCUGUUCAGGCAGAGCCUACCCUUCAAUCGGGAGAGACCGUAAUGACCCCGGAAGAGUGCUUUGAAUAUUGCGUUACCGCAAGUUUAUAUCCACGCUUCGCUUCUGAGCCAGUAUGCCGUUUCCGUUGCCAAUUCACCAUGUACAAUUGUAAGUUUCCCUCAUCAUUUUUUCUAUGUCUAUUUCUAAUCAAUUUUGUUAUAAUUAAACACUACAUCACGUUUUUUAAUAUAAUUUAAAUGUUUUAUUAUGCUAGCUGUUACAAACGACGUUGAGCACAGCGCAAGGAGGCAUGGUCCAGUUGCAGCUCCGGCAGUGUCACCGGUCCCAGCACCCAAAACUCAUUAGUUCACAAAAUGUUAAAAUGGGAUCCAAAAUUGAGAGCAUGAUUGGUAGAAUCAAUUUCAACCAAAACACAAUGCUUUUUCUCAUCAAUUCAUGUCCUCUUCCCCUUACCUCUUGCUUAUCAUUUGUCACCACAAUAAAUUAAAUUAUUAUUCUUUUUAUUAUCAUUCUCUUCUUAUUCCCCUUUUCCUUUUUCAUUGUCUAGUUUAUUUAUUUUUAUCGGAAUCAUUGUUAACUCAUUAAAGAUUAGUAGAAUAUCAACAACAAUACAAUUUAAAGUAUUUAAUGCAAAUAAAUUCACAAUAUUUAUUUAAUAGUAUGAAAUAAUAAAUUGUUUGAAAUACUCAUGUCUCUAGACGAUACACACACCAAGACGAAAAACUUAAAUGACAUCCCAACAAGAUAAUGAUAAAAUAUUAUCAUACUGCUAAGAUAAAAAUUACACAAAAAAACACAAAAGAAAGAUAAUAUAUUACCCUUUUAAUGAACGAAGAAAAAUAGAUGCUUUUUUUCGUAAGGAUGUCAAGUUUUUUUUUUUACAACUCACACAUAUGCAAGAUUCAACACUAUAUAUGCAAAUGCAGAAAACAACAAAUGAAUUUGAAAAUUACAAAAAGUAAUCACAGAAUCAGACGAUUGAUCUUCACCUAUCUUAAUCUUAAUUUGUUCUACCAUUUUAUCAAUUACAUCCAAUUGUUUAAAAGAAUUAAUACUUUUGCAACGUUUAAAACAAUUAUUUAAGAAAAAACAAUGUUGUAUAUUACAGAAUAUUACGCCCACAAAUCGAACAAAACAAACUUUCAUUUCAUUGAUUUCAAAGAUGAAGUAAUGAUUCAAUUUGAAAUGGUUCUUUAGCAUAAUUUAUUGUCUUACUUUUUUUUUUUCUCUAUAGGAGGUCACUCGCGUUCCUGCCAUAAAAAUUUUGAUUCACCAUUUAUGCAAAUAUAUGUACAUAUGGUGGUGGUGUUGAUAUACCAUAAUAUGGAACUUCUGUAGGGGAUGUUCUUGUGAGGUUGAUUGGGAGGUCGACUGCACAUGAGCAUAUGACAACGGUUGCAAAUGGGGAUCACACAUAUAUUGUUCGACAUAUAUAAAUAAUUUAGUAUGUUGUCUAAACCAAUUUAUAUAUUAUGGGUUGUGGCAUAAAACACCUUAUACGAUUUUACCUUGCAAUACAUAAUUCUCACGCUCGUUCCAAUGUUUAAUCUUUUCUCUCCCAACCCAAUUUCAAUUAUCAUCAAUGCCACACCUCAUGGAAUAUUUUCAUGUCCUAUGGUAGUUGUGGUAUUUGUUGAUGGAAACCGAAUUGGAGUGUAACUUUAUCAGGAUGAUGUUUUUCAACAAUAUAAUAACAAUUCAGAGAGGUACAUGCAGUUCAUGUGUCAAUCUCUUCUUCGAAAACUUCGUAUUGGAACUCGAGGUACGGUCUCCAAUAAAACUGAAAUGUAAAAAAAUAAGCUAAAGUAAAUAUAAGAAGUAUAAAAAAACAAUAUAAUUAAAAAAGUGAAAUAAAUGUGAAUGAAUAUAUUACUUCUAAAGUAGCAAUGUCGAUCACCAGAAAUGGGGGUUUGAAUUUUGAUCAUUUUACCAUUUUGAUUCAUGUGUGUGCUUAAUUUAAAUUAACGCAAGAAUGAUAUUGGUUUGAUGAACAAUAAAAGAAGAACGUUCUUCAAUACUAAUAUAACAAUAAAAACUUUACGAUGUGUAUGAUAAAAGUGUUUGAGAUUUUGAAACAUCUCAAUACUUGUUUGAGAUAAAUGAAAGAUAAAAUCAAUAAAUAAUGAUCCACAAAUAUAGUGAAGAGAGUUGGAGUCUGCUUGAAGAGUUUUUUGCUUGUUCUUACUUGAAGAAGUGUCGGUAGAUUUUAAAAUGAAUAUAGUUGUUGGACACACUUCCCAAGUGUUAGAUAUAUUUUAAAACAAUUAAACAUGUGUUUAUAUUGUUGUCUAGAACCUCCUUGACAACCGAAGAAUGUUCUUGCUUUUGGGUUUGAUGGAAAACGUGAAUAAGUGAGUGAGUGAGUGAGCUGUCAAAUGUCAGUUUGAAAAUGUUUCCAUGUCAUAAUUAUGCAGAGUUUUCUGCAUAAUACUGUAAGUACAAUGUACUUGUGUCCUUGCACACAAUUCAUCAAUUUGGAGAUCAAUCUUGAGGUUAUUUUCCUCCUUUUGACAUUCAGCUCGAGUUCUGGGUUUCACCAUUGAUUUGAGCAGUCUUGAUACUCUUUAAAUUGUGGUUUGGACUGUGAAAAAUAAUAUGUUUUAGUUGUUUCUUUAAAAAAGAAUAGCAAAUAGUUCUUUUGCGAAACUAAAACGUUCUUGGUUUUGUGUUGUAUGAAAAACGUGGAUGAGUGAUUUAGUAGUUGUCUAGUGUUAGUAAUUUGUCUCAUAAACAUGAUGUGCUUUCUGCAAAAAGAUGCAACACCAUUUCCCUUGCCCAUGGCUCAUCAAUUUGAAUAUAUAUUUUGAUGUUUUGUUUUGUCUUUGUUGAUCCUCUUUGAACGAAUCUAUCCAAAACGAUCUUGUGUAGAUUAAUAAAUUCUUGUGUAAUAAAUAAUGAUGAUUUGUUGUGUAGAUAGAUGUACUUUCGUAACUCAGAUCGAUCUUAAAUUAUAUAGAGGCAUGUGAUAGUGGUUUUAAUCCAUCUAUAAAUUAAAAUGAAGAUAAUGAUCAAAAUGAGGAUUAACGACCUCAACUCGUUCAAAGAGCUAGACAAGUUCAACGACAUCAUAGAUAUGGAACUGGAUGUCGUUUAAGUGGACAUCAUUAAUUUAAAUCUGAUGUAUUUUUUUCUUCGAUUUAAUAUAUCUUAUUUGAUAUUAUUAAUAUAAUUUGCUAUUUUUAAUUAUAAUUAUUUUUAUUUAUUAGAUCUAGCGAAAAAAUAAAAAGAAAUUGUUAACAAAAUAAAAUUAAGUAAUUAAUUUAUCUAUAAAAUAGGAUAGAGUUGUUAAAAUAAUAUAAAUUUAUACAAAAUAUAAAGGAGUUAUUAAAAUAAUAUAACGUGUUAUUUCUUUUGUCACAUCUACUCAAUUGAAUUUUUACUUCAAUUUAAUGUAUUUUAUUUUAUUAAUAGUAUUAUAUUUUUUAAAUAUUUUAAUUAUUUUUAAUUUAUUAAAUAAACAAUUAUUCAAUUAUUAAAAUCACAAUAAUUUUUUUUUCAAAACUGUGUUCAUUGUCAUAUUCACGAAUGCGGCACCAAAUUUUUUUAGGACAGGGAUGCGAGCUACCUACUAGAAAAAAAAAAGUAAGGCAAUGAAUUAUGCUAAAUAACCCUUUUAAAUUGAAUCAUUACUUGAUCUUUUAAAUCAAUGAAAUGAAACGUGUUCAAUUUAUGGGCGUAAUAUUCUUAAAAAAAUAUUUUAAACGUUGCUAAAGUGUUCAUUUUAAGCCAAAGUAAAUGUUGAUAUGUGGUAUUUGAUGUUAGUUAAGAAAUAUUAAAAACUUGUACACACAAAAAAGUUAAAAACCAAAAUAUAUAAUUUUAUGGGUUGAAACGGAUGUAAUUGAUAAAAUGGUAGAGCAAAUUAAGAGAAAUAUUGGUGAAGAUCAAUCGACUAACUCUGUGAUUACUUUUUGUAAUUUUUAAAUUCAUUUGUUGUUUUCUGUAUUUGCAUAGUGUUGAAUCUUGCAUAUGCGUGAGUUGUAAAAAAAAAUUGACAUCUCUACGAAAAAAUACGUAUUUUUCUUCGUUAAUUAAAAGGGUAAUAUACUUUUUUUUUGUUUUUUUAUCAAAAUAGUAUGAUAUUAUUUUAUCAUUAUCUUAGUGGGAUGUCAUUUUAGUUUUUCGUCUUGGUAUGUGUAUCGUCCAGAGAGAGACACGAGUAUUCCAAACAAUUUAUUAUUUCAUACUAUUAAAUAAAUAUUGUGAAUUUAUUUGCAUUGAAUCCUUUAAAUUGUAUUGUUGUUGAUAGAUAUUCUAUGGAUCUUUAAUGAGUUAACAAUGAUUCCGGUAAAAAUAAAUAAAUGGAGACAAUGAAAAAGGAAAAGGUGAAUAAGAAGAGAAUGAUAAUAAAAAGAAUAAUAAUUUAAUUUAUUGUGGUAACAAAUGAUAAACAAGGGGCAAGGGGAAGAGGACAUGAAUUGAUGAGAAAAAGCAUUGUGUUUUGGUUGAAAUUGAUUCUACCAAUCAUGCUCUCAAAUUUGGAUCCCAUUUUAGCAUUUUGUGAAUUAAUGAGUUUUGGGUGCUGGGACCGGUGACACUGCCGGAGCUGCAACUGGACCAUGCCUCCUUGCGCUGUGCUCAACGUCGUUUGUUACAGCUAGCAUAAUAAAACAUUUUAAUUAUAUUAAAAACGUGAUGUAGUGUUUAAUUAUAAAAAAAUUGAUUAGAAAUAGACAUAGAAAAAAUGAUGAGGGAAACUUACAAUUGUACAUGGGGAAUUGGCAACGGAAACGGCAUACAGGCUCAGAAGCGAAGCGUGGAUAUAAACUUGCGGCAACGCAAUAUUCGAAGCACUCUUCCGGGGUCACUACGGUCUCUCCCGAUUGAAGGGUAGGCUCCGCCUGAAUAGCUACCAGGCACACCACCAACAACAAAGCAACAUAUUUGUUUGCCAUUUUUAGUUUUAAUUUUGAUUUCAAACUUCAAAUGUAAAACACUUUGCUUUCUUAUUGGUAGUUUUAUUUCUUUUCCUCCUUACCCAUUUUUUUAUGUCAUCUACGGAAUCUAUAUAUACAUUGCCUUCUCACUCGUCAGCCACAAAUAAUGUCAACGUAUGUGCUUAAAAUUUGGCUUUUUAUUCGCUCUUCUAUUUUUAAUAUAGGGAAAAACGUGAGGAGGAAAUUGUUGGUUUAAGAUUGGUUGGGUUGCAAUACGAAGCUGGGACAGGUCAACCGGAGGAGGGAUAUUUCUAAAAUAUUGUUAGCUAAUUGAUUGAAUUAUAAAUAUUUAAUAAAUAAAUUGCUGUUGAUUUAAGUGAUAGUUAGUGCAAAGUGACAUAAAAUGAUAUAUAUGUUCGUAUGAUUUUAUAAUAUAAAUAAUUUUAUUUUUUGCUUCUGCUUUCAUUUCAUAGACAAACAUAUUCUCUGUUAGCUAAGUCGUACAUGGAACGACGGUAAUACAAUUUUGAUUUUUUUUUUUUUAAAAAAAGAAACUUAUUUAUUAUUUUUAACGUCAAAAUUCUAAUGCUAAUUAAAUCAAAAACUUUAAAUAUAAUAUUAUGAAAUGGAUGAUAAAUACAGAUAUCGCACAUAAUUAAAAAAUUUCACUUGCGUUUACAUUAGUAAAAUUAAACAUCAAGAAGAUAAAACUGAUGUCUUUGAACUUUAUAGAUAUAAUCUAGUGUAUAAAUAGGAUUCAUAUAAGCAUUCUAUUGACGUUGAAAAGUUAAAGAAUAAUAUAUUUAUUUUUAAAUGUCAGCAAAUAAAUGUACUGUUUAAAAAAAUUAAAUAAAUUUACAGAGUUCUGUAUUACUUCCGUAACUUAAUCCCUCUCACAACCGCUCCCGCCGCCAAAUUCACCUGCACCGAACUCGCCACCGCUUUGCGCAAGGUAUAAUAAUGAUCAUGAUUUAAUUUGCUUCGUUUUUAUACUGAUGAAUUAAGAUGUUUUCGUUUCGAUUCAAAUUCAAAGGUUUGCCGUUGAAUCUUUUUUCCUGUGGCUAAUAAUUGGCAGUUGACAAUACUGUGUGAUCACAGUGCCACUGUUCAUUAAGUAAAUUAUGUCUGAAUACUUUAAAAUACAGAUAAUAAAUUUCAAAACUUAAUAAAAAAUUUAUAGACGAAUCUUAGUGGUUAAUUUGUUAGUGGAGAGGGGAAAUGGAAAUGUUAGUACUUAGUAACAAGAUUGAACUCCUAUUCUCAAUAUUCUUUCUGUGUCUCUUAACUCAUCAAACAAGUUUACCUACGUGGAACUUCAAAACUUAAUAAAUUAACAAGAACUUUAUUAUAUUCUCUCACAUGUAUCACAAAUGUUUUAUGAUUACACAAAUACUCCCCAAAUGUGGGGUAUAUGAAAUUAUCUAUAAAAGAAAUUCAAAUGCAAUAACCACACUACAAAAACUAUAUAUAGCAACAAUUUAUAGGUAUGUUUGCACCGGAUAUGCAAAACACAAAGUCUAGAAGUAUUUGAGAACAACAAAUCCUAGUGAUACCAAUAAAACAGAAGGUGAGACAGUGUAAGAUGUCACGGCAGAGGAUGGAGUCAGAGAAGAGUGGCCACUUCCCGUUGUAGAUGUGGAUGGGGUACCAGAAUCAACAGAUGGAGAUGGUGGAGUCAAAAGAGGAACGUUUGUGCCAGAUUGUUGUGGUGCAAGAGGAGAUGAAGUUGGUGAAGGGAGGUCAGAAGAUGCUGCACAAAGAAAAUUCAUGAGUUAGGAAUAUGAAAAGUUAAAACUGAUAGAUGUAUUAUGCAUAAUGGAUUAAAGUGUAAUGAGUAAUGACCUUGAGGACUAGGAGUUGGAGUAAGUCCUGAGAGAGCAGAAGGAGCUGAUACAGGGGAAGGAGAUGGUCCUAGAGCCACUGGUCCUGUGAAUAUUCAUCAAGAUCAUUUAAAAGAUUAGUUAAAAUGGCAAAAAUAGUUUAGAGGAAUGCAACCAGCAAAGACUCUAUUACACUUUUUCGUACUACUAGAUCUUAUGCUGGUUUCAUUUCUUAUAUAGCAGGACUCAUUUUUCACAUGUUGCAAAAAAUAAAAUAAUUUUUCUGCAAAAAAUUAUUCAAAUUGAAAUCGAAAUUUUGCAUUUUGGCAUUACCAGGAGCAGGAAGUGGUGAACCUGAGGCUGCAAAGUAAGAAAAGGUAACAUCUUAGUUAGCUUUAUUAUUGAAAAUAAUAAGCUAAAUAUAAGUAAAUAUUGACAAUAAUAUGACAGUAAUCAACUAUUGAAUUGAUAAAACUCAAUGUUUAUAAUGACUUAUUAGAUAGAGUAACUCAGAUCAGAGUUAUUGCUAGAGUAAUUUGAUUCCUCCUCGUAAUUAAAACUUAUUAUACAAAGGAAAAAGAUUGUAGGAUUUUUUUUUACCUUUGCAUUGAACUGGAACACCAGGCAUUUUGCAGGCACGAGGAAGAGAGAUAGCCAAGGUUCUAUUGAUUGGAAUUUUGAAAGGAACGCUGGCAGUAACAAUGAGACACAAACAGUCCAUGCCACCACUUGUGAGUGACUUGAGAGCAGAGCAGCAUUCAGUGGUUGGGGAGGUACCAUUCGCACUACUAUUUGUAAGGAAACUCAUACAAGGUGUGAAUAGAGUACUUAAUGUUGAGGCAUUACAUGGGGUGCUGAUUUGUGCAUAGGAUGGUCCAGCCAUGACAAUAUUGAUGGCAAAAACUAUAGCUAUGUGGCAGAGAGUCACAGAAUUUGCCAUAUUAGAAAUUUGAAAAAGUUGUGAGGUUUAAGAUUAAUAUUACUAUUAGAAAAUUGGGUUUGAAAGUGUGAAGAUUGGGUAAGAGCUAAUAAAGAAUGAUAAGGGGAUUUUAUAGAUAAAAUACAUCAAGAAGAGAAAUGGAAAUGAAAUGAAGAUUAUUAUUUAUCAUGGUUGGUUAAGAAGCUCAACUACCAUAUCUAAUCAAAUGCGAAAUGAAAGAGUUUAACUGAUUUAAGUAGGUACGAUUCGCAUUUUGUGGCUUCUGCAGAACACACUUGAUUUAGUGUCACGCAAUGUUGGGUAUCUGUUCAAAUUAUUUGCCUACUUUAACAUUGGUCAAAGUCAAAUAUUACUCAUUAGUUCAGCUGCCCAGGUGGAUAAUUGAAUAUUUCAAUUUACACCAUCUAGAUUCUUAAUUCCAUUUAUUUCUUUGAUUACUUUGUUUUUGUUGGUCUUUCACUGUAUUUUAAAUUUUACCAUACCAACUGUCUAAUGUUAACGUCUCACAUAAUUCCAACACAUUGUUUAAAGUGAACAUUCUCAUACACUAAAAUUUUAUUGGAUAUGAUAUUAGUACAUAACAUUCAAUCAUUUGACCUAGGGAUAUGACAUCCAAACUCGUUCAAGUAUUUAUUUGAAUCCGUUUUAAUUUAAGUGGAAAAAAUCUAUUAUGAUAAGAGCAAAUUUUCUCCAAAAUUAAAAUUUAAAGGUGGGACGAAUUUUGAGUGUUGAUAUUUAUUCUACACCCGUGCGCCAACUCACCCCACUAAUAAUAUUAUUAUCAUUUUUAAAUUUUAUAUAUAUGUAUAUAUUUAAUAUUUUUUAAAUAUACAAAAUUAUAAUCUAUUUUUCUAUAGAAAAUAUAAUUUUAAUUUUAUUAUAGUAUAAUAAUAAUAUUUUUUAUAUUUAUUAUUUAAUAAAUACUUUAAUAUUACACCCGUUAAGAAGUGGGUGACUGCGAGUUUUUUUCGAUCAGUCAGGUGUAGGGUGGGGAAACAAAAUAUGUCUUACCCUGUUACCAUGCCUAAUUUGAUGUCACCUUAUUAUUUAAUUUAAUUCUUGUUUAUUUAAAUUUAAUUUAUGUGUUAAUUUUGUCUAAAAGAUAUAAGUAUGCUUUUUUUAAAUUGAUACUAGCAGAAUAUGUAAAAUAUUGAUAUUAUGCGUGAAAGGAAGAAAAAUAGAGAUAACUUUUUGUAUUGGUCAAAUGAAAAAGAUUAUUAUAAUAUUAGGAAUAAUGAAGUUAUAUACUCAAAUUAGAAUAAUUAAUCUCUAACUAACGUGACUAAUUUGCAAUUAACACCUAAUUAAAGUAACUAACUUAAAACCAAUUUUCGUCUCUAAUAUUUCCUUGCAAGUAAUAAGGUGUUCGCGGCACUUUUAGCUUGUAACGAAUAACACAAAUGUUGGUAAAACAUACAGAAAUAAAAUGAGAAACGCUGAAAAGUUAAUAUUGUUUUUAAGAUUUUACUCUUCGCUUGAAAUUAGAACAAUAAAGAUUCUAAUGUAAUCUUGUUUCUUUCCUUUUUUUUUUGUAGGUGUUGAAUCGAAUCUACACUUUCAUGCAAAAUAUUCUUUUGCAUUUUUUUUUUAACGAAAUCUGAUGUGCAACUCCUUGUUCAUUAGCUAAGACUUCUAAAUGAUAAUCUAUUUAUGAUUUUUUUAAAACAAGAACAAUCUUUUUUUUUUAAGUGUUGAAUCUAGAGUCUAAACAUUCAUGCAAGAUAUUUGAUUGCAUUACUUUUUUUUUAAUGCUAAUUUGACUAAAAAGAAAGAAUUUUGACGCUAAAUGUUGUUGCUGUUCUUCCCCACUAAUAAUAUUAUUAUCAUUUUUAAAUUUUAUAUAUAUGUAUAUAUUUAAUAUUUUUUAAAUAUACAAAAUUAUAAUCUAUUUUUCUAUAGAAAAUAUAAUUUUAAUUUUAUUAUAGUAUAAUAAUAAUAUUUUUUAUAUUUAUUAUUUAAUAAAUACUUUAAUAUUACACCCGUUAAGAAGUGGGUGACUGCGAGUUUUUUUCGAUCAGUCAGGUGUAGGGUGGGGAAACAAAAUAUGUCUUACCCUGUUACCAUGCCUAAUUUGAUGUCACCUUAUUAUUUAAUUUAAUUCUUGUUUAUUUAAAUUUAAUUUAUGUGUUAAUUUUGUCUAAAAGAUAUAAGUAUGCUUUUUUUAAAUUGAUACUAGCAGAAUAUGUAAAAUAUUGAUAUUAUGCGUGAAAGGAAGAAAAAUAGAGAUAACUUUUUGUAUUGGUCAAAUGAAAAAGAUUAUUAUAAUAUUAGGAAUAAUGAAGUUAUAUACUCAAAUUAGAAUAAUUAAUCUCUAACUAACGUGACUAAUUUGCAAUUAACACCUAAUUAAAGUAACUAACUUAAAACCAAUUUUCGUCUCUAAUAUUUCCUUGCAAGUAAUAAGGUGUUCGCGGCACUUUUAGCUUGUAACGAAUAACACAAAUGUUGGUAAAACAUACAGAAAUAAAAUGAGAAACGCUGAAAAGUUAAUAUUGUUUUUAAGAUUUUACUCUUCGCUUGAAAUUAGAACAAUAAAGAUUCUAAUGUAAUCUUGUUUCUUUCCUUUUUUUUUUGUAGGUGUUGAAUCGAAUCUACACUUUCAUGCAAAAUAUUCUUUUGCAUUUUUUUUUUUAACGAAAUCUGAUGUGCAACUCCUUGUUCAUUAGCUAAGACUUCUAAAUGAUAAUCUAUUUAUGAUUUUUUUAAAACAAGAACAAUCUUUUUUUUUUAAGUGUUGAAUCUAGAGUCUAAACAUUCAUGCAAGAUAUUUGAUUGCAUUACUUUUUUUUUAAUGCUAAUUUGACUAAAAAGAAAGAAUUUUGACGCUAAAUGUUGUUGCUGUUCUUGAGAAAUUUUCAAAAAAUCUAGUUGACUUCAUCUUUUUCUUACUGAUGAAAAUUGUUGAUGUUGAAACAAGAUUGAUAUUAAAGCAUUGAAAAAAAUUUAGGUCUUAGUAAAGUUUUAAAAAUAAAACACGUUGCCCUUUGUUACUCAUUAUCUUAUGAUUUUUUUUUUAAUCAUUAUUAUAAUGAGAUGAUUUUAACUUGAAAUUUGAGAAUAGCGGAAUAAUUAUCUCUUUGAUAUCAUAAUAGAAUAUAUAAAAUAUUGAUACUAAGCAUGUAAGAGAGGAAAAACAGAGAUAACUUUUUGUAUUGAUCAAAUAAAAAAGAUAAUUACAAUAGUAAAUAUAAUGAAGUUUAUAUAUCCAAAUUAAAACAAUUAAUUUAUAACUAUAAUUUGUAACUAAACACAUAACUAAAGCAUCUUACUUAUAACCAUUUUUUCAUCUCUAUUAGAUAACUAUAUUUGCCUUCAAUUUUUUGAGUCACUUGGUUGUCCAUGAAAUGGUUAUAGAACUCGAGUAUGCUUUUAAGAAAAAUAUAUUUAAAUGAGGAUCUAUAUUUAGUUUAAGUAUUAGCGGUUAGUUAUACAUUGACUAUAGUUGAGUUAAAUAUUAAAUAUAUAUGAGAUAAGUGAUUUUCGUAUUUAAUGUCUUAAUAUUUUAAUAAAAAAAAAUAGUUUAAAGUCUUUUGUAGUCUUAAAAGAUCAGUGUGAUACUAAGUGUUGAAAAAACUACAUGUACCAUCUUAAAAUAUAUUUUUUAAACAUUGAAGAAGUAGAAUACUACCUUUGUUAUGGUUUGUAUGCAUCAUUGAAAAUAUUUCUCAAAAAUAAAUUUUAUGAUAAAUGUCUCAGAAUAUUUUUUUUUUAGUUAUUUUUUAAAAUUUCACUAUUUAAACAAGCUUAUAAUAAAUAGAUAAAAUAAUUUAAAUAAUAUUUUAUAUUUAAAUAAUUUUUCAUUUGAUUCUUUAUUUUAAAAAUUCUAUUUUAAAGUAUGGUAAAAAUAAAAUAUUAUAAUUUUUUUUUUAAAGUUCCAACAAAUGGAUCAAUAUCAUUGAAACCUUGUCAAAUCAUUUGUGGGAUAAAGCAGCCCUUACAUAGGUUAGGAAUAUUCAAGUAAAUUUGGGGCUAAGCCCAACCAAUGGUUUUUUGUCCACGGCCAAUUCAUUAAUAUAUUUGCAGGCAAAAGAUAAAUAACGAAAUUGUUAUCCUUCAUUAUUUGUGUCUUUUAAGCUCCUUCUCCUUUCUCUAAUCUUUGUGUCCUUGUAUAUAUAUAUGACUAGUGUGAGACCCGCACAUGCACGGAUGAAUUUUUCCUAAAAUAAUUAGGUUAAAUUAUGAAAAUAAAUAUACGUAUAUUAUAUGAAAGUUACAUAAGUAGUAAAUAAGAAGUAAACAUUACUUUAAAGUAUUUUUAUUAUUUAUAAAAUAUUUAGAAAAAUCAACACUAUUACAGUUACAAUGAUUAAUAAUUUUUUUAAAAGAAAUUAUAUUUAAUACCUCCACAACAUAACUUGGAUAAGAAAAUUAAUAUUUAUUGUUAAGAUGGAAGUUCAAAUUCAAAAACCUAAAUAAUAUUUUAAUGUAAAAAAGACCUAAAUAAUAUUGAAUGAUACUAGUAUUAUUUUAAUAGGCAAAUUCAAAUUAUUGUGUAUUAUAUGUAUAAUAAAUUGUUUAGUAUUAAAAUAAGAGUGAGAUUUGUUAACUACAAAAGUUAAUCUUACUUGAGUUAUUCUACUUAAUAAUUUUUUGUGAGAUUAAAUUUUAUCAAUUCAACCGUUCAAUAUUUUGAUAUUACCUAAUCAAUUAUGGAAACCAAAAAUUACAAAAAUUUGAUAUCUAUUAUAAGAUCUUAUAAUUAAUAUUUUACUUGUAUUUUAAAAAGUAUAUUCUACGCCAUAGUGAACUUAUUUGAUAAAAGUAUUAAAAUUAUAUUAAAAAAUUACAUAUUUGAUUUGCUUAAUAAGAAGUAUUAAUCUAAUAAUUUAAUUGAUAAAAUUUAAUAUUUACAAAAAAUUAUUAAAAUUGAGGGAAUGACAAAAUUGUCGACUUUUAAAAUAAGAUGAUCAAUUUUAUUAGUUGAUAAAAAUAGAAGAACUAAAACUGUAAUUAAACAUUUUUUUUAAUGUUCCUUUGUCAACAUAUCAUUCUUUAGUUUUCUUGUUUUUUUUUUUUUACACAACAUCAACACAAAAUUUUAGAUUAUUUUUUGUUAAAAUUAGUUUCUGAUAGCUUAUAGUUGGUAGCGAAUAGAGGAUAAUAUUUGAUAAAAUUAAGAAAUCAAUUAGUUUAAAAUAUUUAAUAACAUAAAAAGAAAUUUAUAUUAUUAAUCUUUAAAAUUUCAUAAUCUAAUAUGUUUUAUAUUUAUUAUUUUUAAAUUAAUAUGUAUUAACUAAAAUUUUAUUUUAAAAAUAUACUCACUAAAUCAAAUAAAUCAAUAUAUAUCUAAUCUAUUAUUUUGUGUUAUCUAUAUAUAUUUAAUCAAAUAAAUCAAUAUAUAAUUUUAUGAAAAUAUUUUAAAGUAACAUAAAAAAGUGGUAUGGUAUAAUAUGAUUGAAUAUAUGUGUAAAAAAAAUUAUAUCGUUAAUGUAUAGAAAUUAAUUUUAUAUUAUAAAAUUUAUAGUGUUCAACCUUUUAAGAAACAUUGUAAUUAUCUGCCCCAAAAAAAAACAUUAUAGUUAACAUAUUGUACUUGUAAAAUAAGAAAACGUAUAAUGGAAUCAUAGGAAUGUUAGCCUUAUAGGUUAAUGUUCAGAAAUUAUUUUGUAGCGUAGUUGACGUGUAUAUAAUUUCCAUACCUAUUUGACAAUUAUUAAAAAUAUCUAAUUUAAUUUAAUGGAGCAUGUACAUUGUGAGAUUUUAUAAUAUUAUUACUCAUUGUAUGUAAAAGUGACGUGUAGAAAUUUGUGAAUAUAGCUCUUAAAGAAUGUUUUAUUAAUUAUGUAAUUAAUGCAAAUUUCGUUACAUUUGUAUAUAAUAUAAAUAAAUAGAUUAACUCAGACUAGAAGUCAUAAAUAUAUCAUGAAAACAUUUAAUUUCAAUUUAUUUCAUUAAUUUGAUAAAAGAAAAAUCCUAUAAAAUGUAGAACUUGCGACAAAUUAUAUUUUACACUAGUUUAUAGAAAAGGCCUAUAGUAUGUAUAGGAUUGGGACAUCGCCAACUUUUUAUAAACAGAAUGGUCCCUCUCAGUGAAUCAAUUUCUGAAACAAAAAGGAAAUGGUCCCUCUCAAGUGACUCAAUUUCUUAAAAAGGACCAGUAACAAUUAUCACGCACUCCUCAUAAAUAAAUUACUUUAAAGGUCACAAUAUAACGUUAUUUCUUCUUACAAUUAAAGUAGACGAAGAAAAAACAAAAUAUUUUAAAUAAAAUGGAUUUAUUUUAAAUUUUAAAUACAAAAUCGAUUGAAAUCAGAAUCUAUUAAAGAUAACAGAAUUAAUUUUUUAAAUCUUAAGAAUCACUUUUAAGUGAUCCAACAAAGAAUCUAAACAAGCACAUAAUUUAUCAUUUCUUAAGUUAAAUUUUCAUGCUAAACGACGCGGUUCCCUCAACCUCAUGCUAAAAGGUUGGUCAUCCACAUAGCUGACUAGUGUAGAACUUUCAUUGCGCAAUUUAAUUUUAUAGAGUUAGGUCCUGGCUAGUACCUUUCAAAUAUUUUAAAAAUUAUAUCAUAAUCUUAAAAAUUAAAUUUUUAAUAAAAAUAUUAAAAAUUAAAAUAGAAUUUUUUAUUUAUUUAUAUCUGUAAAUAAUAUCAAUUGUAGAUAACAUUAAUAAUAUUAAAACUUUAAUUUUAUUUUUUACUUAAUCUUUUUGUCAAAAAAUCUGAACAUUUUUUCCCAAAAUUAUUAGUCUUUAUGAUAAUGUAUUUUUGAAAUUCUAAUACUGUUAAAAAAAUACAAAAAUUUAGACCUUAUACAAUUGGUCUAUCUUCGCACGCCCAUUAUCAACCCUUGUCCCCCGCCUCUACAUUUAAGAAUCUAUUUAUUACAAAUUAUUUAUAAAAAUAUUCACUUUUUUUUAAAAAAAUAAUAAUCACUUUUCACAAUUUUCAUCUAUUUCUUAUAACUUUUGAAAAAAAAUUAAAAACGAGAAGUUGUUUGAAUUGUUUUUAUUUUUAAAAUGAUUUUUUUUAUCAUAAUAGACAAACAUUAAACAAUUUUUUAAAAAUAUCUCUAAACUAUUAAAUAUUAAAAUAAUUAUUUUUAUAAUCAAUAACAAAUUAAGUCUAAAUUUUUAACAACUUACCAGAAUACAAGCGUGCCAAAGGUGAACUCAAAUUAGGGUCCAAUUAUAAUUUUAUUAUUAUUAAAUUAUAAAAUUAGGGAACUGUCGGAACAGUUUGACAAAACUCUAAUUAAUUUGUCAAAAAUUAAAUUUUACGUUAUUACAUGGAGGCGAACUUAUUUUGCUAGCAUUGGAGAUCCAUAAUAACUUAAUUCUCUAUCUACUAUAAAUUUGUAUAUUUAUUUAUUUUCCUAUAAAAAGCCAUUCCAUCGUUGUUCUUCCAAACCAUCCAAUUCAAAGGAUUAAGUCCAGAAAAAGUAAUUUGAAUAAGAAAAUAAAAAUGGAAGUGGGUCUUAGUUUGGUUAUAUUGUCCUUGUUUUGUGCAGGAGCUGUGGCACAAUCAGGUUGUACAAAUGUGUUAGAGAACCUAUCACCGUGCCUCAAUUACAUAACGGGGAGCGCAACAAACCCAUCUUCAGGGUGCUGCACACAAUUUUCAGGUGUUGUGAAAUCAUCACCACAAUGUCUCUGUCAGAUUCUUAAUGGAGGAGCAUCAUCACUUGGUAUCAAUGUUAACCGUACCCAAGCUCUUGCCUUACCUACUGCUUGCAAAGUACAAACCCCACCCUCCACUCAGUGCAAUGGUAACUCAAACAAUGCUUUUUUCUUUCUAUUUUUACCAUUUUAACUUUUUUUCAUUUCCUCUCAAACAUGUUAGGAAAUUAUCAACUCUUCUAACUCUAACGAAUAUGUAUGCACAUCAUUUUAUAAACAAAUGUUAUCUAUAGACUAUAGAUUUAGUAACUCGGAAUUGAAUCGAGAGAUAACUACAAUCAAACUAAUUUUUUUUUAAUCGAAUUUAUAUAUUUUCUCGUUUGAUUAAACCUUAAUUAAAUUUCAAUAACUAUUUGAGUCCGUUAAUAAAUAUUAAAUUUUUUAUAAUUAAAUUAUUUGAAGUGUAUGAACUCAAUCAAUUAAUUUAUUUUUUGAGACUUGGUUUAUGGAGUGCUCUCAUUCUUUGUAUCAUUCAUAACCCCUCAAAAUGUUCAUUGUCUUUGUCUAUAUGAAAAAUUGUAAAUUUUAUAUUAUUUCUAUUUUUAUUUAGAAUAAUAGGAAUAAGAGUAAUGCAAAUUAUGCAAUAUGUUAUUUAGUUUUAUAUUAUAAAGGAAUAGUAAAAUUACAUUAAAAGGUAUUGUGUUUAUAACACGACUCGCAAUUCCCGUCCCAAACUUUGUUCGAGGGAGAUUUUCUCCUCGAUCUCGAUCUCUAAAAGAAAAUAUGUAGACCAAUGUCUUGACAUUGAAAACAAGAAAAUAACAUCAUAAAAAUAAGUGUAUGCAUCAUAUAUUGAAAUUAAUUAAUAUGUUUCUCCUAAUCUGUGCAUCUUGUGUAUAUCUCAGCAGCCGAUUCACCAGCGGGAUCUUCUAAUUCUAAUCCAUCAGGUACACAAGAUUCAUCAUGUUGAGGAAGUCAUAUUUUUUAUCCAAUUUUAUUGUCUUUGUUAAGCUAAUUAACUAUUGAAUUUGUCACUAAAUUGUAGGAACCGAAAAUUCCAUCAAGCUAUCAAUUCCUCUACUCUUCGUUGUUUUUGCUGCAACAUAUGCUUCGACUUUCAGGACAUACUGAAAUAUUCAUUUUUUCAUUUCUACACCUCACAUUUAUAAUGUUAUUUUUCAGUUGUUGAAGAUUGUUGUUUCUUUUCACAAUAUAUUCAUUUUUGUGAUCACUAGCUCUAUUUGGUUAAUUAUAUGGUGUUGUAUUGUGAACGGGAGAUAUAUUUUAUCUCCCUUAAGCUUUAACGUGUUUGGAUUUGCUAUACUAUGAUUCUGUUAAACACGAUUACUAAUACAUUCUCUCUCAUUCACAAAAUUAAAUAUCUUGAAAAACAUUUAAAAUGAUAUAUUUUCACUUUAUAAACACAGCUAUUAUGAUAUUCAUCCGACGCGGGACUUGUUCGGAAAAAAAAUUUAAUUCACACUACACUAAUUCAAUUGUUUCAAUAUCAUUUCCAACACAGAUAAAUAAAAAUAUUUUUGGCAUAGCAAGACAACCAUAUAUAGAUUGUAAAUACUCCCUGCUUUCUAUUUUUCACAGGAAAAAAUUACUUCAUUUCAAAAAAUGUAUAUAAUGUUCAAUACAUCUAGAGAUAUAAUGAUAAAAAUAUUGAGGGCUAGGUAUAUAUGUAGCUACUCUUGUUGAGGUCUCAACGACUUCAUUUUCUUUCUAUUUAGAGUAUUUAAUAUGAGAGUUUUUAAAAUAAAGAUGAAGUAAAAAUUGACGAUCAUCUAAAAUAGCACAAAUUUUUGUGUUCAGCUUACAUUUUUUUCAUUCAAAGCUUUAUUAUUUAUUUGUUUAUUGUUCAAUUGCAUUUCUGCAAUUUUUUAUAAUUAAAUUAUUUGAAGUGUAUGAACUCAAUCAAUUAAUUUAUUUUUUGAGACUUGGUUUAUGGAGUGCUCUCAUUCUUUGUAUCAUUCAUAACCCCUCAAAAUGUUCAUUGUCUUUGUCUAUAUGAAAAAUUGUAAAUUUUAUAUUAUUUCUAUUUUUAUUUAGAAUAAUAGGAAUAAGAGUAAUGCAAAUUAUGCAAUAUGUUAUUUAGUUUUAUAUUAUAAAGGAAUAGUAAAAUUACAUUAAAAGGUAUUGUGUUUAUAACACGACUCGCAAUUCCCGUCCCAAACUUUGUUCGAGGGAGAUUUUCUCCUCGAUCUCGAUCUCUAAAAGAAAAUAUGUAGACCAAUGUCUUGACAUUGAAAACAAGAAAAUAACAUCAUAAAAAUAAGUGUAUGCAUCAUAUAUUGAAAUUAAUUAAUAUGUUUCUCCUAAUCUGUGCAUCUUGUGUAUAUCUCAGCAGCCGAUUCACCAGCGGGAUCUUCUAAUUCUAAUCCAUCAGGUACACAAGAUUCAUCAUGUUGAGGAAGUCAUAUUUUUUAUCCAAUUUUAUUGUCUUUGUUAAGCUAAUUAACUAUUGAAUUUGUCACUAAAUUGUAGGAACCGAAAAUUCCAUCAAGCUAUCAAUUCCUCUACUCUUCGUUGUUUUUGCUGCAACAUAUGCUUCGACUUUCAGGACAUACUGAAAUAUUCAUUUUUUCAUUUCUACACCUCACAUUUAUAAUGUUAUUUUUCAGUUGUUGAAGAUUGUUGUUUCUUUUCACAAUAUAUUCAUUUUUGUGAUCACUAGCUCUAUUUGGUUAAUUAUAUGGUGUUGUAUUGUGAACGGGAGAUAUAUUUUAUCUCCCUUAAGCUUUAACGUGUUUGGAUUUGCUAUACUAUGAUUCUGUUAAACACGAUUACUAAUACAUUCUCUCUCAUUCACAAAAUUAAAUAUCUUGAAAAACAUUUAAAAUGAUAUAUUUUCACUUUAUAAACACAGCUAUUAUGAUAUUCAUCCGACGCGGGACUUGUUCGGAAAAAAAAUUUAAUUCACACUACACUAAUUCAAUUGUUUCAAUAUCAUUUCCAACACAGAUAAAUAAAAAUAUUUUUGGCAUAGCAAGACAACCAUAUAUAGAUUGUAAAUACUCCCUGCUUUCUAUUUUUCACAGGAAAAAAUUACUUCAUUUCAAAAAAUGUAUAUAAUGUUCAAUACAUCUAGAGAUAUAAUGAUAAAAAUAUUGAGGGCUAGGUAUAUAUGUAGCUACUCUUGUUGAGGUCUCAACGACUUCAUUUUCUUUCUAUUUAGAGUAUUUAAUAUGAGAGUUUUUAAAAUAAAGAUGAAGUAAAAAUUGACGAUCAUCUAAAAUAGCACAAAUUUUUGUGUUCAGCUUACAUUUUUUUCAUUCAAAGCUUUAUUAUUUAUUUGUUUAUUGUUCAAUUGCAUUUCUGCAAUCAUCACUGGUUCAUAUGGAUGUAGAUUAAAGUCAUGGCAUCAACAAAGUAUGUGGUUGUUAAGAUCGAUGGAAAUAAUGAAUUUGGUUUAUGGAUCUUAAGAUGAAAAGCAUUACUAGUUCAUUAGGAAUUAAAAGAUGAUCUUAGGAGAAAAAAAAUACACAAUGUCUACUUUUUCAGAAAAAAGAAGAGGACACUGUGAAUAAAGUUUGUAGUGCUUUAAUCUUGAAUCUUGGUGAUAAAAUUUUAAAAAAAGUGUAAAAGUUUUUAAAGAAAGUGCAAAAGAAACCUGUGUAACAGAUAUUUAGUUAAAAGUAAAAACUUUGCGUAUGACAAAAUCAGUGGUAAAUUGUUUAUACUUGAAACAAAAAUUGUACACCUUCAAGGUGCAACUAUGAAAGUCCAUUGAAAAUCAUAUUGAUGAAUUCAACAAGAUCAUACUAAAUCUUGAGAAUAUUGACAUAAAAGUUAAUAAUCAAGAUCAAGCUUUACUUAUAAACUAUUUACUAAAUUCCCUUGAAAAUCUAUGUGAUAAUUUACUUUAUUGUAAAGUACUCUAUUCUUAGAAGAAGGAUCAAACUGCCCUAAUACCCAUAGAACCGAGUAGGAAAUCAGAGAGGAAGAAAAAGACAAUGGGGAGAAUAACUAUUUGUUAAAAGAAAGGCUGAAAAGAAGAGCUAUAUAAAAAAAGGUUUAAUUAGAUGUUUGAGUGUCUUUUUUUUAAUACAAAAUAAAUAAGAUAAAAGUAUUUUAUACACCUAUUUCUGAAAAGGGAAUGCUAAACUAAAAAAGUCAAUAGAUAGGUUUAAAAUUAAAAGAAUGCUAACAAAAAUUAAAUAUUUUUCUUUGUCUGAUUUUCCCGAAAUUUCUGCUGUACCAUUCAUUAUUUUCUAUUUUUAUAUAUAGUAUCUCAGUUUAUUUAAUAAUUCUAUUAAUUACAAUUAAUUACAAUUAAUAAAAAAAUAUAUAAAUAAAUAAAAUUUAUUUUAUCAUUUAAAUUAUCAUAAUUAAUUAUUUUUUUAUUUGCAACUCAAGCAAAAUAGUUUCUAUAAUGAGUUGGAGGAGAUAGUUAGAAAAAAUAAAUUUUUUUAGACCCUCAAUUUUCAAGGACUUCUUUAGAAAUUUUGAUUAAUAGGAACAAUCUCAUAUAUAUAUUAAAAAAUGUAAUUUUUUAUUUCGUAUUUGGUUUUUUUAACAAAUGCCCUUGCCCUUCUUAAGGGCACUUGCUAACAUAAUCAUAAACAAAUGUCCUUGUACUUCUUAAAGAUGCUUAGUAGCAUGACCCUUAAAAAUAAGUAAAAAUUGUGUUGAAAGAGCAAUUUUUGAACUUUUGUGAUAUUGAACACACAAAUUCCAAACCACUAAUUUUAAUUUUAUAUCUGGUUCCUUAAUACGUGUCCAUAAAAGUCUUGUUAGCAUUUCUUUGUAAAACUAUUCAAUAAUUUUUAAUUGAGUACAAUACUUAAUUUUUAAUGGUACAAAAAUAAAAUUAUUCAAUGAUUUAUAACAAAAUAAAUCUUUUAGUGGUUUAGUGGGGCAGCUGCCCCCACUUAGCUAGAAGUAGAUUUGUCUCUAGUCACAUUAUGUCAGCAUUGAAUAGAUUAAGAAUAUCUCAUAUCAAAUAAAAUAUAAAUAACAUAAUAAUCAAAAAAUUGAUUUAUUUAAUUAAAAUUUUAAUUUAAAUAUAUUAACUUUUUAAUUACUAUUUUUAUUUAUAUUUUAUUUCGAAAGACGUGUAAUACUAUGUUUUUUUCUUGAUAACUUGAAGUAUCGGUCUUGUAUUUGUAUAAGUUGUAUAUUAUGACUCAUUUUGACAAUGUCAAAAAAUGAGUUUAUAGCUCAUAAGCAUUGUUUAAUAAGAGUCAUUUAUGAACUUAUAUCUUAUGGUGUUUUUUCAAUAAAUUAAUUCAAGUAGCUUAUAGCCUACUACUUCCCAAUUUUUCUUUCAAUUUUACUUUUACUAUUAUAAAUAAAAUCAUUUUUUUAUCUUUUAUAAUUUGUUUAUUAUAAUUUAAAAUAAUCUACUAAUUUAUUUAUAAAUAAUUUAUAUAAUGUCAAAUUUCAAUUUUUUUAAUAAAUAAUAAUUUAAAGUAAAUAAUUUUAAAUAAUUUGUUAAUUAUAAUUUUAAAUUAUUUAUAAAUAAUUAAUAUUUUAAAGUAAAUAAUUUAUUUUUUUAUUUUAUUAAUAAUUAAAAUAGAUAAAUAAAAAAUAUAUCAUAAUUUUUAAAUUAAUACAAAAUUAAAUUUAAAUUACUACUUUUAAAAUAUUUUAAAUACUAAUUAAUAAAAUUUAUUUUUAAUUAAAAAUGUUUUUUUAUGUCAUUUUAUAUUUUUACUUAAUUAAACUGUCAAUUUUAUCAAACACUUGAAUUAAGUUAACAAUUAUUAAUCAUAAAUGAUCACCUAUUAACUAUAAACUAAUUUUAAUAUACAUUUAUUCGGUUUGAAUGAAAUAUUUGGUUUAUUCCAAAAAAACAAAAAUAAUUUGAAUUCUCGUGAGUCGUGAGUGCUUGGGUAUGAUUGAUGCUAUUAUGGUAUACUAGUCUCAUUACACUGUGCCUCUGAUUCAUUCAUUGAUGCUAUUGCUUGGUGAGUGCGUUGAGAGUGAGAGAUAGAGAUAGCCGAUCGAAAAUUCCACUCACAUAACGCCACCUACCUUUCUUUUCCGAAUAAAUUAAAAACACAUACACAUCCAGACCAGCUUAGAGAGACCAACGUAAUCAACUCAGCUAAUUUAGUUAGUAACUUUCACUUAAAAUACAAAAAUGAAUCAAUUGUGAGAAUGUUUUUUUUUAGUUUAUUUUUUUUAUUAAGAUGCUAUUUUUAUGAUUUUUUCACCUAUAUCACCUUUUCAAAAUACAUUUUUUCAAUAUAUUUUACUUUUAAAUUAAUAUACGAAAAUUUUCUAUUUUUUCAUUGUAGUGUAGUCGCAAAUCUCUAUCCUCUUUUCAAAAAAUAAUUUUUAAUAUAUUCCACUUUUAAAUUAAUAUAUAAAAAUGUCCAAAUUUUUUUAUCUUGAAGGUUGCAAGAUAGAUAUGUGUCCACUCAAACAGAAAAUAUUUUGCCUUAUUUAAAAGGUAGCAUUUUGAAAACCCCACCACCAAAUAUUCAUUGAAUGAAUGUCACAAAUAACUUUAUUAAUAAGGGGGUUUUCACAUUCAAAUCGAUUUUAAAAUAUUAUAAAUUGAUUAAAAAAAAUCAAAAGAUUAAAUUCUAAAGAUUACGGGUCAUGUAAUAUAAUUUAAAUCAUUAUGUCAAUGAACUUAAAUUUUAUUAUAUGAUAUCAACAAUAGUUUUAUAUCAUUAUAUUUUAACAACAAUAUUUUAAAAUGUUAAAAUGAUUAAUAAUUAAAGGUAAAUAUUUAUUUUAGAUAAAUAUUUAUUUUAAAUAAAAUUAUAUAUGUAGUCUUUUAAAUUUGACUUAUUUCUCAUAUUGAUACUUUUAGAUUUUAUUUUUGAAUUAGUCCUUCAAAUUAUACAUAUUAUUGUUAGUCUUUUCUCCCACUUUCAACAAUGUCAAGUUCAAUUGCCUAAAAAAAUACAUAUAUUCAUAAGAAAUUCUACCAAAUAUUACAAUAAUAUGUAUUUCACCGUAAUCCUUUAGAAAAUAUCAAUCGAACCUUAUAACAAUUUAUAGUUUUUAGAAUUUCUCUACAAUUAUUUACACAUAUGUAUUACUCUACAAACUUGAUAAUAAAUGUUUAUUCACAUAAUUAACAUCAUUCCUCUUUUUGCAAAGUAAUUUGAACAAUUAUCUCAUUGAAGUUUGAAUUAGAUCUUAAUAUUUUAGUAUAUCAAUAUGAUAAAAUAGUAAAAUUAAAAGAAAUAUAUACAUAAUUUAUUAUAACUUAAAUGUUAAUGGUGUAAAAUAAAUAUAACAAAAAGACUAGAAUCACAAGUCAUAGCAGAAAGAAGAGUGUCUUUGUGUGAUCACAACUACACGUCCAAAUCAUUUAGACAACCUAUAAAAUACACAUCAUCUAAUUUUUUAAUUAUCUCAGUAAAAAAAUAUAAUGAUUUUUUCUCUAUAAUUUUUCAUUUUUCUAUAUAUCUAAAUAAUUUAAAUUUGUGAUCGCCGAAAAUACAUACGUUACUCCUUUAUAACACCAAUUUUGUUUUUGUUGGAGAUGCUUAUGAAAUGAUAUUUGUAUAAAAAACAAAGUUUUAAGUGAUAAAAAAGUGAUUAUAUUGGAGCACCCCUUAAUUCGUAAAAAAAAAGAUGUUUGUACAUUAUAACUGAGAUGAAGCACCAUAUUUAUAUACGUUUAUUUAUUUAUUUUUUAUAUAUAUCUUUAAUAAAAUGCUCUCUCUCUAGUAUGCAUUUCAAUUUCUAUACAAACUUAUGUGUUUGAAUUUUUACUUUAUAAAAGUAUCUCAAAUUUAAUGUCUAAAUAAUAUAACUUAAUUUGUAAAUAUUUAUUUCACACUUCAUUUUAUUUAUAUAUGUCUUUUUGUAUCGCAGCACCAUGAUUGUUAUAUCACGUCAAUUAUAUUAAUUUUUAUUUAUUUAUUUAAAAAAUAUAUAAAUUGAUCUUUGAAAUUGUAAAUGUCAAUCAAAUUAAUUCUAUAAUUUUAUAAAUUGACAAAUAUAUUUGUGAUAUUAUAAAAUAUAAAUAAAGUUAGUCUAUGUGUAAAAUUUUAUUGUUAAAUAUUUUGACACAACACUCAAAAUAAAUAUAUGAUUUAUCCACGUUAAUCUCACAUCAAGGUCAUCUUUUGAGAACAAAUUUGUCGUUGAAAUUUCGUCAUCUUAAAAAUAAAUUUACAAGUAUUUGUGAUUAUGCAUCGAUUAAUCAUAGACAAAUUAGUCUAAAUUGUGAUAACAUUAAUAUAAAUUCAUUGUAGAUAGUCAAAUAUUCAAUUAAAACGUUACUUGACAAUUUUUAAUGAUAAAAUUUUUAAUAUAAAAUGUUUUAAUUACUAUUUUAAAAUUCCAACUGCAAAAUUCAAAGAUUAUAAUAAUUAUUUUAUAAUUUCAACUGUAAUAUUCAAAAAUUAAUUAAAUUAAUAUUUACAAUUUAAAAUUUUAAUUUAUCUAUUGAGUCGUAUCUUUUUUUUUAUCAAAGUAUACAUGGGAUGUUUAUGCCAUUGCUGAGAUCAUGGUGUGGCCUUAAUAAAACCACUCAAUGAUUCACCUGAAACAACACAUAAUUUUUUUUAUUAAUUAAAAGAAAUAAAAACCACCAAUUCUCAAUCAUAGACUUAUGUUUUCAUAAGAACCCACCAAACAGUUUACACCAAUCACAAACCGCUUUCUUUUUUUGCAUUGCUCUCUGCAACUUCAGAACUAAUGAUGGAAGACUGAAACUAGUGGCCAAUUAAAGGUACUAACAUUGAAAAAGAUAAAUAACCCCACUACUCAUUAAAAGAGAGAGAACAACGAAAAAAGAGAAAAGCUUUCUCAAUUAUCAUCACCAAUUUUUUUUAUUUUACUUUUGAAAUUGGAUUUUAUUUUAGGGACCAUUUUUCAACAUUUUUUUGGCUUUUUAUUUGUUAGCAGUAAUAAUUUGAGGUGAAAAAAGACAGAAAAUGUUAAACAAAUCGAAAGGGAAAAACAAAGGUAGCCAAAAGAAGGAACAAAAUUACAAACUCAUCUUUGUUCUGUUGUCUGAUGCAUGCACGUCUUGGUCCUUUGAUCAUGACUAUUGAGUCUAUCUUUUCAUGUCGUUUUUCAAACUCAUAUUGAUUCUAUUCUCAGAAACAGGGCGAAAUAACCGGGGAAAAAAUUUACCCUUUUUCUAUCUUUUUUUUCUUCUUUAAUUUUCUCACUGGUUUUCUUGUUUUCAAUUCAUGUUAUGGAAGAUUCUGGUUCAUCAACAUGUUGUGGAGAAAAGUACAAAAAAAUCACUUCUUCAUCUUUCUUCAAUUCACCAAAGUUAUUCACACAAAAAGGUUUUCAUGAAACAGAAACCAUGAUGAUGAGUCCUACUUCAAUACUCGACAGUAAGAACUUUUCUGGUUUAAAGAACCCUUUUUGGUCUGAAACAAACAGUCCCAGAACACCAAACUGUGGUGAACACAAACGUUGUUGGGAUAAAUUGGAUUCAAAACCGGUUGGUCUUGGUCUUGUUGAUGUUCUUGUAGACGAAAAAAAUGGUGAAGUUAAUUCAAAACUAGAAAACAGAACUGUUCUGUUUGGAUCUCAGUUGAAGAUUCAGAUUCCACCUUUUUCACCAACAACAAUAUUUUCUUCUUCAUCUGAAUCAGAAUCAACUUUUUCAAGAGGUGAAUUCAGCAUCAAGACGGGAAAUUCUCAAUUGGGUUCUUCUUAUGGAAGCUUAUCACACUCUCCUAUGGGAAAAUCUUCAUCUGGGUGUGAAAAUCCAGUUCUUGAAGUUGAAACCUUUAAUAAUACUCAUGGAGUAUUCAAAGGGUGUCUUUCUGCAAGUGAAAUGGAGCUUUCAGAAGAUUAUACACGUGUGAUUUCACACGGGCCAAAUCCAAGAACAACUCAUAUAUUUGAUAACUGCAUAAUUGAGAGUAGUUGUUUUGAAUUUGAUGUUGGAUACUCUGCUUCUGCUAAAGAGAGUGAAUAUUGUUUUCCAUGUGAAAGCUUUCUGAGUAUAUGUUUUCACUGUAAGAAGAAUCUUGAGCAGGGUAAAGACAUUUACAUGUACAGGUAAUUGCUUAUUCUUUAACCUCAUGGAUCAUGAAAUUUUACUUUUUAGGUACUGAUUUAUCUAAGUAUCAAAUUUUUAUUUUUGAAUUAAAAAUUUGAUUGGCAUGUAGAAUUUGAGAUGCUGAUUAUUAGAAAAUUUGGCAUAUGUAUGUGUUGGUGCAGAUUUUAUUUUUCCCUGAUCGUCAAAGGUACCAUGGUUUUAAAUUGCUCUUCCGCUGCAAACAUUUAUUCUAAUUACCGUAAAAUACGGGUGAUAUUGCAGUGUUGAUGGCUACAAUUGUAAUUGGAGACUACAAUUUAGAAUCAUGGUAGUUGUAGACUGAAAUUAAGAUUGAUAAAAUUACGAUUAACCAUUGCGACUAUCAUUUGUAGCUUUUACAAAAUUAACUCCCAGUGAUUUUACAUUUAGUACUUUUUUGGAGGAGAUUUGAUAAUAUAAUUUUGGAUUGUUAUUAUUAUUUUUAAAAUUUUAAAAUAAAAUAAAAACUGGUUAUUGUGAAUCUAAAGAAAGUAUGAUUUGCUGAUUUGUGUAUGACAAAAGUUAGAACCAUUCCCUUGAAAGAAUGGUGGUGAAUAUUAAGAUAUUGAACCUAGUUGUAUGAUGCUGUGUUGCAGGGGUGAGAUGGCAUUUUGCAGUCAUGAAUGCCGUAACCAAGGGAUGCUGUUUGAAGAGGGGAUGCUCAAAAUUGGAAGCUAAGGAUGUUCAUGGGACAUAAUUCCAUUCCCUUAUUCCCCUACACUCAUAAACAAAAACAAUUAAACCUUUGAAGCAAGGGGCUUAUUAUAUGUUUGGAUUGACUGUGAUUUUGUUAUAAUUCCGGUAUGUCAAUGUGAUUUUAGUAAAAACUGCAUUUUGGUGCUUUCACGAAAUCAUGGUGCAAGUGUAAUUUUGUCAAACUUCUUGUGAUUCAAAACAUGUAUUUAUAAUAACACCCUUUUCAUUUUUAGUUUUCUAGGAUAUGAAAUAGUCCUCAGAAAUCCUAGAUCAUUGUACCUGGUUUUGCUCUCUUGCUUCUCAACUCGACCUCUCAAAACAAUUGGGAGGAAUUGAAAAGCUGAGAUACUGUAGAGGUGAUUAUUAUUUUUUGAAAUGAAUUAUGGGAUUGAUGUUGAAUUGUUCACAUUUUUUGUCUUUUUGAUGGCUAUGAUAAUAAUUAUGUAUGACUUGAACUUACAUUAUUAUUUUGAUAUAGUACUCCACAUUAAUAAUGCUAUAAUCACGCCUAUAGAAGUAGGACCCCUUACAUCAUCUGAAGUUGAUUCUUUUCCUUUGUAUAUUGGGUAGUUGUUUGUCCUUUUAGCAUGUUUAUUACAGUACCCGAUUAUAGAAGCUUAUUGUACAUGGCAUCUUUUUUUGUAGAUUUAAUCUGUAGUUUUGUAUAUAUUUUCACUUUUCAGAUACUGGAGCAUCAUACUUAGUGUAAGAUUUGCUCUUAAGGUUGAAUUAGAUAGAGCAAAAUUUUUGGACAGUGAUUUCAAUAAAAAUAUGACAAUAACUAGCAUAAGUAAUUGGUAAAGUAGUUAUACCCUUGUAACAAACAAAGCAGUGAUAACUUUUUUUAUUGAUAUUUUCAAUUUUGGGGUAUAGUAGAGUAAAUCACAUCUUUGUCUUCUCGGGAGACGAAUUUAUGUCAUUUUUAAAGAAAUAGUUAGAUUAAAGAAAAAAUUAGAAGAGUUUAUUGGUAUUUAUUUUGUCGUAAGUAAUUACUUAUGGGCUUCAUUAAGGUCAUUCAAUAUGGAAUCGCACUUUUGUGUCUAAAAUAUUAUCUAACAAUUCGUAUAAUUUAAGAUGAUAUUAUUUCCGACACAUAAGUGCAAUUGUCCUUCACUCAAACUAUGGUAGUAUCCUAAAUAUUUGGGUUUCACAAUGACUCAAGUAUAUAUGCUGAAUCAGUGAUUGUCGUUUAAGUGCCUUCAACGAGCAGCCUUAGCUGUCUCUAGAAUAUCUACAUUUACUUGUUAUUAUGUAACUUACUUAAAAUGAAGGAAUAAUUCGAUUUUCAUCGUUUUUGUUUUCCAUCUUUUUAUUUAGAUUAAUUUUUAAGUUUGGGAUAUGAUUUUGAGUUUUGACUUUCUAUUUAUGUUGUUUCGUUUACCAAUUUCUUUUUAUGAAAAACUCAAUUCAUUGUGAAUCAAUUUCAAAAAAAUAAAAGUCCAUAUUUCUUAAAAUAUACAUAUACAUUAAUCACUUUAACAAAAUUUUGUCCGGUAAUUAAUUCUGGAAGAGUCGAUAAAUUUUUUCUUUUGAGAUUUUUAAGAAUUUUCCAAACAAAAAUCCAGCCGUAGAUUAGAAGGCCCUUGAAAGCAGACUGACUUGUCCAAAUUGAAGCACCGCCACCAUUAUUAUACAGGAUAAAUAGAUUUAAAAGAUGAUAAAAUAAAUAAAAACAAAUAAAAAUAUACGAUAGCUGCAAGGUGUGAAUGAUUGAGUUAGUGAACACUAAAAACUGGGCAUUAAAUAAUCAGCAUCUUUGAAUUUCUAAUUGUUUAGCUCCUUAAUUUAAUAUAAUAUAAUAAAUAAAUAAAUAAAAUGACUUGUGUUUAUAUUUUGUCUUUAAUACCGUUAUUACCCUCCAAAUUUCCCAAUUUCUACACCUCCAACAUACGCCCCACGAUUGUCGCUCGUUCACCGCAAUACCGCCGGAUAACUAAUCGGAAUUCGCCGGGAAUUGAAAUGUCCGGCACCGUUCCGAGGUCGGCAUCCGCUUUCCGACUUAACACCGAUGAUAGCGACUCAUUCUUGGGUUCUCGAACCGGUAAGUAAAAUUGAUAAUUCAUCUCCGUCGAACUUGUUUAAAUCCGCGUCUUUCAUAGUGUUUCUUCUGCUUUAUUUUUAUUUUUAUUUUUGAGUGGAAAUUCAGGUUGACCUUGUUUUCAAUGUGUCAAAGUUUGAGAUUUGAGGUGAUUAAUUGACACCUUUGUUUAUCGCUAUAUGAAGUUUAAAUAUUCUAGAAGAAGUUUUUUUCUUCGCUGAUUGGUGAGUUCAUAAUGCAAUCCUUCAUGCAACCAGUUUCAAUGGUAAUAUAGUAUCUUAGACCCUUUUUAGAUAAACAACUUAACUUCAUUAAAUGUUAAUCUUAUAACUUAUCAUACUUGCGCCUAUCAUAUAAAUAUUUAUUUAUAAACUAUUUUUAGAACAAAUUGUUUUCAAAUAAGUUAUAAACUGAUUUUUAAGUUAUUUUGGAAAACUUAUGAAAAUAAGUUGUAAACAAUUUAUAAAUAUGUACUAAGCCGUUUACAUAGUUCUUUCAAUCCGUGUCACUAGUAUUUAUGUCAAUAGAUAAAUUUAAAUAAGUCUAGGUUGGAGACAUUCCUGAUGUAAUCAAAGAAAAAGAUUUCUAGUUAAUAAUAUUUCAUUUGUUUUUUUCAAAAAAGAAAUCUUAGUCUAAGACUGAAUGACUUUUAGUUUGUAAUUUUAGGAAAAUAUAAUUGUAUAUGCAAAUUGUUAAGUCUUCAUGAUGGGAAGGAUUAGCUAACACCAUUGCUUGUUUAGUUAUUGUUCCCAAGGGAAUUGACACCAUUAUUUGUUUCAAGAUAUGAAGUCUUUAUUGUUUCCAACAAGUUUAGUAAUUAUUUUUUAGAAAGGAAAUUAUUGGCAGCAUUGUUAGAUUUUGUGGCAGGUGCAGGAAAAGGCGAUACACUAACAACUGAGACAGAUCUAGAAGCUUCCUCCACUAGUAAAACUGCUCUUCGAAAGAACAGAUAUGGUACAUUGUUUGGGGUUGAUUUAUCCCCUGAUACUGUUGCUGUUGCGAUGGUAUACUUUGUUCAAGGUGUUUUAGGACUUGCAAGGUUGGCUGUCAGCUUUUAUUUAAAGGAUGAUUUGCAUCUGGAUCCUGCUGAGGUAUGGAUUCUUGACACUCAUGGUUGUUCAUGUGAUUCACACAUCUUUUCAUUAUUUUUCAUUUGAAUUUUGUAACUUUUGCUCAUGUGCCUGAUCCACGGUGUAAUCAAUUAGCCUUUGCUUGUAUCUGUUAUUGGGAUUUAGUAAAGGAAAAAGAAAUUGAGACAAUAGAGAUUAUGAAUACUAUUAUCUUGUCUUCUGUAUAUGAUAUGGCGUGACAGAAGAUAAAACACUAACCCUUAUUUACUAGACUUCUAUUGACCCUUACAAAAUGUGGAAGCAGAUCAGGAACUAUAGUUAGAUACGGGAACAGAUUCUGCAAGAUCACCCAAGAUUUGAUAGGACUUAAGCACAUGAAGAGAGCUCAACCAAAAACUAGUCCAUUAGGUGGUAGAGCCUUAUGGCUUAAAAGAAUAAGUACCGCAUUGAGCACUUUUAUCUACUCAAUAGUAAAUUAAUAUCACGAGAUAUUUCUCAGAUAUCCUAACAGGGAAAUUUUAAAAACCUACAAGUGGUAGAAUUUCCUUGAUACCCUGCUCCUUUUUUCUUUAGCUGUUGAAUCAAUUAACUCUAAUAUUUGAAGGACUAACAUGUUACAUAUAUUGACUAGGCAGCUGUGAUUUCUGGUGUUUCUGCAUUUCCAUGGCUUGUCAAACCUCUCUAUGGUUUUAUUAGGUGAGUUUAAAUUGUAUCACUUCAUCCCUAUCGACAAAAGUUUCAUUACUGAAGUUGUUGUUAUGGCAUGCAGCGAUUCUAUCCCUCUUUUUGGUUAUCGGAGAAGGUCAUACCUAGUUUUAUCAGGGCUGCUUGGUGCACUCUCAUGGAGUCUGAUGGCUACUUCUGUUGACAGCAAAUAUAGUGCUGCUAUUUGCAUACUUCUUGGAUCUCUUUCUGUUGCUUUCUCGGAUGUUGUGAGUGUCUCCUUCUAAGUAAUUCACACAUACUGUUUUUCUCCUGGAAUCAUUUAACCAUCGAUAAUGUUUGUGCACAUCAAUACCAAGCACGCCAACUCACAGCUGUGUGAGGUUACUGAAUUAGAAUGUCUUUGCUUCGAAAAUGAGGUGGGACCAUAUGUGAUCAAACUAUGUAAAUUAUGUAGAUGGGGGAGAUGAGGCAUGUGAAUGUGUGGGGCUAGCAUUAUUUUUUAAUUAUGUUGACGUACUUCCUAUUUGAUGUAGCUUUUAUAUUUGGUAUGUAUAUGCAUAUAUUAUUACAUAUAAGAAUGAAAUUUCUUACCCCAGUUAUAGAAGUUACUGAUAUUCUGUGAGUGGAGAUUUCUGAUAAAAUAUACCUCUCUGCUUGAUGUCUUGUUCAUCAUUUCAUUGUUUACUUCAUCAAUUCAUGCCAAAAUUUCUGUAAGAUUUCCUGUGAUCAAAAUUCUAUUACCAGAUCUCCAUCCAUGAAUUAACCCCAUUUGCAUUUAAAGUAUCCAAUGAAUCUCUGUCUCAGAUAAGAGAACAAAGAACCAUAAUAAAAAAAAGCACCAGGAGACUUUCUAGAACUCUCCCCAUAUCACUUUGGUUCAACAUUAACUAUCAAGGUUUACUUUUCCAGACACAUGUAAAAUUAUUUCACCAAAACAAGUGUGUAAAUUGCUUGGGUUGGUGUAACUUCAUUGAUUAUGCCAACAUGAUUUUUGUUGAGUCUGCUUCUCACAGUUGAUUAGUAUGUACAGCACAUAGUUUGUUUGUUGGAAUUUUCAGUAGUAGUUAUUCUGUUCUUUCCCAUAAUUUUUUUCCCUUCCAGGGAAAUAACAACGUAGACCGUUUUCUAAUUAAUGAGCUAAUUCUUUCCCCAUUCUUAACUUAUGUGAAUUAUAUAUCAAAGUACCUUCACAGCUUUGUCUUCUCCUUCUUUGUGCUUCAGUCACAGAGACAAACCAACAUUUCAUUGGGGUUCAAUUUCUUUUGU
rnacentral:lncRNA from 1 species